GACGGAGGAUGCAAGUGUUAUCCGGAAUCACUGGGCUUAAAGCGUCUGUAGGUGGUCAAAUAAGUCAACUGUUAAAUCUUGAGGCUCAACCUCAAAAUCGCAGUCGAAACUAUUAGACUAGAGUAUAGUAGGGGUAAAGGGAAUUUCCAGUGGAGCGGUGAAAUGCGUAGAUAUUGGAAAGAACACCGAUGGCGAAGGCACUUUACUGGGCUAUUACUAACACUCAGAGACGAAAGCUAGGGUAGCAAAUGGG
rnacentral:rRNA from 1 species